GUCAAUAACCCCACCCUACUUCGUUGAGGGUGGGGCUUGUAAGAACCAAAGCUUACGUGUUUGACUAGCCCACUGAGCCUAAUCCUGGGACACACACCCGCAUACUUCCCCAGUGCGGAUUUAAUGUAAGACUGUUUGGUCAGUCGUUGUUAGACAAGACAUCUUGGAUUAGGUGGGCGAGGGGACAUCAACUCUGAAAGGAG
rnacentral:sRNA from 1 species